AAAAAGGCUUUAAAAGUUUUAUUUCAACUUGAACCUUAGGGUUUACACCCAUUUAAACUUUGGAUCUUCAAACCAAUAGGUUUUAUGUAUAAAAGGGGUUUAAUGCAUAUAUAAGCUAUCACAUAAUUUUUGGAUAAUUAUUUGGAGUUGAAAAAGUAUUUGAUUUAAAUGGCUAUAUAGCCCUAAAGGCAUUUAUAGGGCAAAUGUAUUUUUAUAUAUUUUAUUUCGAAGAGAAGCUACUUCCAAAAGUUGUAUCAUGGUAGAACAUGAUUUUGCCAAUUUUCUAGAAUUUAUUUGGACCAAUUUGGAGUUCAAACUCAAAAGAUAUCAAAGAAAUGAGAAAAGCAGAAAAAGAAAAGGCUAAAAGAAAAAAAAAGGGAGAGACGGACCGGCCCGGCCACUUUGGGCCGAACCGGCCCAAUCCCUCGCACGCGCCGCCGCCCAGCCGGCCCAGC
rnacentral:lncRNA from 1 species